rnacentral:piRNA from 1 species
UGCAGACCCAAAAGUGCGUGAGAACCACAUC